CCUACGGGAGGCAGCAGUGGGGAAUAUUGCACAAUGGGGGGAACCCUGAUGCAGCCAUGCCGCGUGAAUGAAGAAGGCCUUCGGGUUGUAAAGUUCUUUCGGUAGCGAGGAAGGCAUUUAGUUUAAUAGACUAGGUGAUUGACGUUAACUACAGAAGAAGCACCGGCUAACUCCGUGCCAGCAGCCGCGGUAAUACGGGGGGUGCGAGCGUUAAUCGGAAUAACUGGGCGUAAAGGGCACGCAGGCGGUGACUUAAGUGAGAUGUGAAAGCCCCGGGCUUAACCUGGGAAUUGCAUUUCAUACUGGGUCGCUAGAGUACUUUAGGGAGGGGUAGAAUUCCACGUGUAGCGGUGAAAUGCGUAGAGAUGUGGAGGAAUACCGAAGGCGAAGGCAGCCCCUUGGGAAUGUACUGACGCUCAUGUGCGAAAGCGUGGGGAGCAAACAGGAUUAGAUACCCCAGUAGUC
rnacentral:rRNA from 1 species